rnacentral:rRNA from 1 species
GUUUGCCUACGGGAGGCAGCAGUGGGGAAUAUUGGGCAAUGGGCGCAAGCCUGACCCAGCAAUGCCGCGUGAAGGAAGAAGGCUUUCGGGUUGUAAACUUCUUUGACAGGGGAAGAGCAGAAGACGGUACCCUGAAAACAAGCCACGGCUAACUACGUGCCAGCAGCCGCGGUAAUACGUAGGUGGCAAGCGUUGUCCGGAUUUACUGGGUGUAAAGGGCGUGUAGCCGGGAAGGCAAGUCAGAUGCGAAAUCCUGAGGCUCAACCUCCGAAUUGCAUUUGAAACUGUUUUUUGUGAGUACUGGG